rnacentral:rRNA from 1 species
AUACGUAGGGUGCGAGCGUUGUCCGGAAUUACUGGGCGUAAAGAGCUCGUAGGUGGUUUGUCGCGUCGUCUGUGAAAUUCCGGGGCUUAACUCCGGGCGUGCAGGCGAUACGGGCAUAACUUGAGUACUGUAGGGGAGACUGGAAUUCCUGGUGUAGCGGGGCAAUGCGCAGAUAUCAGGAGGAACACCGGUGGCGAAGGCGGGUCUCUGGGCAGUAACUGACGCUGAGGAGCGAAAGCAUGGGUAGCGAACAGGAUUAGAUACCCUGGUAGUCCAUGCCGUAAACGGUGGGCGCUAGGUGUAGGGGUCUUCCACGACUUCUGUGCCGUAGCUAACGCAUUAAGCGCCCCGCCUGGGGAGUACGGCCGCAAGGCUAAAACUCAAAGGAAUUGACGGGG